rnacentral:rRNA from 1 species
AACCUGCGGAGGGAUCAUUACAGAGUACGGGGGCUUGCCCCCGUUGAACUCACCACCCUUUGCUGUGACCGUGACCAUCUGUCUGUCGCCUCGGGGGACCCCGACGCUCGCGUCGGCCCCCCGGCGUGCCAACCAACCUCUGCAUCAUAGUCGUCGGAGUCGUAUUGCGAAAUAAAGCAAAACUUUCAACAACGGAUCUCUUGGUUCUGGCAUCGAUGAAGAACGCAGCGAAAUGCGAUAAGUAAUGUGAAUUGCAGAAUUCCGUGAAUCAUCGAAUCUUUGAACGCACAUUGCGCCCCUCGGUAUUCCGGGGGGCAUGCUUGUUCGAGCGUCAUUACACCCCUCCAGCCUCGCUGGGUCUUGGGCGUCCGCGGUCCGCCGCGCGCCUCAAUGUCGCCGGCCGGUGCGCCUGUCCCGGAGCGUCGUGACUUUUCAGUUCGCUCGUCGGGACCGGGGGCGUCGCGCCGUGAAACCACCUUCUUUCAGGUUGACCUCGGAUCAAGUAGGGAUA